rnacentral:rRNA from 1 species
GAUGUACGCUAGCUACAGGCUUAACACACGCAAGUCGAGGGGAAACGAUAGAGAAAGCUUGCUUUUUCUAGGCGUCGACCGGCGCACGGGUGAGUAACGCGUAUCCAACCUGCCCACCACUUGGGGAUAACCUUGCGAAAGUACGACUAAUACCCAAUGAUAUCUCAAGAAGACAUCUGAGUGAGAUUAAAGAUUUAUUGGUGAUGGAUGGGGAUGCGUCUGAUUAGCUUGUUGGCGGGGUAACGGCCCACCAAGGCGACGAUCAGUAGGGGUUCUGAGAGGAAGGUCCCCCACAUUGGAACUGAGACACGGUCCAAACUCCUACGGGAGGCAGCAGUGAGGAAUAUUGGUCAAUGGGCGAGAGCCUGAACCAGCCAAGUAGCGUGCAGGAUGACGGCCCUAUGGGUUGUAGACUGCUUUUAUAAGGGAAUAAAGUGAGUCUCGUGAGGCUUUUUGCAUGUACCUUAUGAAUAAGGACCGGCUAAUUCCGUGCCAGCAGCCGCAGUAA